rnacentral:hammerhead_ribozyme from 1 species
AUCCGCAUGACGAGUCACAAAUAGGACGAAAUAUGUGUCCUGGAU